rnacentral:lncRNA from 1 species
ACACAAGGCUACAACGCUUGCGUCUAACGCUCACGUUGCACCAUAAUGGCAUUUUACCUCAUUAUGGUGGAAAAGACGGUGUAUAAAUAUAAGCGCAUAUCCCCUAUAUAAAUUAUUAUUUUUAUACAGGGCUACAACGAUUGCGUCUAACGCUCACGUUGCACCAUAAUGGAAUUUUACCUCAGUAUGGUGGAAAAACACGUAUAGCUAGCUAGCAUUCUCUCAUAUACAUAUUAUUCUCAUAAUCAUCCACAUAUGGAUAUAUAUAUAUAUAUACACUCACCGAAAUUCUCAAUUUCGGUUAUUCUCCAACAACAUAAAUUAUUUCGCACGCACAUUAUUUAAAACAAAAGUCCACUCACAAAUUAGGCCUAAGCCUGAUGUCGAUCUGGGGCCUCGUCAGCUCGAGCCUCCUUACGACCUGUUCCAAAUAUAAUAUUAAGUUCCCAGCCGAAAUUCCAAUAUUUAAUCAAAAUAGGCAAAAUUACCCGAGAGCCAUAAAUACGCUCAUCAUUGCCUAACUUCGAUAAUCUUAAAUUGGAACAAUCCGAACUUAAAUAUCAUACUCAACAGUCGUAAUUACAACCUCUCCAAAAUACGACUUAAAUCCUACGGCCGGAUUCUACAUUAAUUAACCGCCAAAAAUACUAACUUCCGAAAUUCAUAAACCUAUCCAAAACUCAUCCAAAAAUUCCAUAACUCACUUCAAUAAACUCCCCUUAAUAUUCCAAAUUUAACAACAUUAAAAUCUGCCAACC